CCUACGGGUGGCAGCAGUGAGGAAUAUUGGACAAUGGACGCAAGUCUGAAGCAGCCAUGCCGCGUGCAGGAAGACGGCCCUAUGAGUGGUAAACUGUUUCUGUACGAGGGUAAACGUUGAUACGCGUAACCUUCUGAAUGUACCGUACGAGCAAGGACCGGCCAACGCCGUGCCAGCAGCCGCGGUAAUACGGAGGAUACAAGCGUUACGCGGAUUUAAUGGGCUUAAAGGGUGCGUAGGCGGUCGGUUAAGUUAGAGGUGAAAUCCCGAGGCUCAACUUCGGAAUUGCCUCUGAUACUGGUAGGCUAGAGAGUAGUAGCGGGAGGCAGAAUGUAUGGUGUAGCGGUGAAAUGCUUAGAGAUCAUACGGAAUACCGAUUGCGAAGGCAGCUCACCAGACAACGUCUGACGUUGAGGUGCGAAAGCGUGGGGAGCAAACAGGAUUAGAUACCCCAGUAGUC
rnacentral:rRNA from 1 species